AACUUUAACAACUCUAACCUCAGCCUCGCAGACACGUAGAUCAUCUGUACCUACUUUGCCCUCAGAAGUAGAAGUUGAAGAAGUUGCCUUGUUACAGGCAAAAGAGGGAGAGGGUGAAGCAGAGCAGUUACAACUGGAAGAUAUGGCCUCAGGAGUAUCUGUUUCUGUUCUAGACAAAAUCUUUGAAAAAUUGGAAGCUUUGGACAAGAAAGUAGAUGUGCAAUCAGCAAAGAUUGACAAAAAUACAGAAUGUCUAAAUAAAUUAACCAUACAAGUGGUACAGAAUACACAAGCAAUUGGACAGUUAACGGAGGCCUCAGCAGAAAAUCGGAAAUUGGCUGAGGACACCAGACAAAAAUUAGAAAAUUUAGAGCAAGAGGUAAGACCACUUACUAAACAAGUUGGGGAACAUCAGAUUUAUCUUUCUAUGAUAGAACUGCGAAAUCGUGAGAACAAUCUGAGGAUUAGAUCAUUACAAGAGGCAGAAGAAGGAAAUUUAACUGAAUUUUUGACCAAAGAAUUCUCCAAGUUCUGGAAUUUGGAAGAAAAGGACUUUAAAAUUGUGUCAGCUUUCAGACUUGGAAGAUUCAUAAAGAAGGAGAGGCCCAGAGACUGUUUGAUAACAUUGAGAUCAAAGGAGGAAAGGGAUAAGAUUUUGGGCCUACAUUACGGAAAGUCACUGGAGGUUUUGGACAGAAGAAUUGAAAUAUAUAAAGAUAUUCCAAGACAACUGCUGGAUCUUAGAGCCGCCUAUUCUGAACUUGCUAAACUACUAAGGAGCAACGCAAUUCCAUUCAGGUGGGAAUUUCCCCAAGGAAUAUCUUUUACUUUUAGAGGGAGAAAGGUCAAAGUUAGAACAUUGGAAGAGAGAGACAAAUUUUUGACUACAUACGGAGAGGACCUUCAAAAAGGAAUUGAAUUACCUUCUGGGCCUGGGGCAACGCCAGCAUUAACACCAGCACCUGGGGAACCUGAAGAUUCAGAGAAGAUACCACCCCUGGAGAAAUAACCAGAUUGAUCCAGGAUGUCUCUGCAAUUGCUGAGCUGGAAUAUUAAUGGUUGUAACAUUCCGGAAAAAGGAAGAAAAUAUUUCACAUAUUAAAAAAAGAACAAUUGGACAUUAUCUGUUUACAAGAAACACAUGUGACGAGGCUCCAUAGAAAAGUGUUAAUAAAUAAAAGAUUGGGCCAGGAAUUUGUAUCGUCGGACAAAGUUAAGAAGAGAGGCGUGGUGAUAUAUGCAAAAGAGAGCCUGUCACCUAAAUUCUUAUUUAAAGAUGAACAUGGAAGAAUCUUGGCUAUUGAGAUACAACAUCAAGGAGAGAAACUGUUGAUAUUAGGAAUCUAUGCACCUAAUGAAGGGAAAUCGGAAUUUUACAAGAAGCUGCACGAGACAAUGCUGGACUAUCUGGAUUACAACAACAUCAUAAUGAUGGGAGAUAUGAAUGGGGUCGUAUCAACUAACAUGGACAAGUCACAAAGUCAAAAUGUUACAAAAGACGGCAGACUACCUAAAACCUUUUUUGAAAUGACUGACAAUAUGGAUUUGAUUGAUAUUUGGAGGACAAAGAACCCACUAGGAAGAGAGGGAACAUUCUUUUCUGAAGCCCAACUGACCUGGACAAGAAUCGACCAAAUAUGGAUUUCUAGAGGCCUGGCACCUAAGGUCAGAAAAGUGGAAAUCUGCCCAAAGACCUGUUCCGACCAUAAUGCAGUAAAGAUGGAUAUGACACUACUACCAACUGGAUCCUUUAGAUGGAAGAUGAAUGACAAUUUGUUUAGAGACCAGGAAAUUACCAAGAAGGCCCAAAAAGUCUUGAAGGAUUACUUUGAGAUAAAUAUGAAUACUACGGUGGAAAAAGAAUCGUCUGGGACGCAAGUAAAGCUGUAAUGAGGGGAUUCUUGAUACAACAGAAUGCAGU